CUGAAAGCUGAGAUUAGGAUCACCGGCCUGGAC
rnacentral:sRNA from 1 species